rnacentral:rRNA from 1 species
AGAGUUUGAUCCUGGCUCAGGAUGAACGCUGGCGGCGUGCCUAACACAUGCAAGUCGAACGGGAAUCUUCGGAUUCUAGUGGCGGACGGGUGAGUAACGCGUAAGAAUCUAACUUCAGGACGGGGACAACAGUUGGAAACGACUGCUAAUACCCGAUGUGCCGCAAGGUGAAACCUAAUUGGCCUGGAGAAGAGCUUGCGUCUGAUUAGCUAGUUGGUGGGGUAAAGGCCUACCAAGGCGACGAUCAGUAGCUGGUCUGAGAGGAUGAGCAGCCACACUGGGACUGAGACACGGCCCAGACUCCUACGGGAGGCAGCAGUGGGGAAUUUUCCGCAAUGGGCGAAAGCCUGACGGAGCAACGCCGCGUGAGGGAGGAAGGUCUUUGGAUUGUAAACCUCUUUUCUCAAGGAAGAAGUUCUGACGGUACUUGAGGAAUCAGCCUCGGCUAACUCCGUGCCAGCAGCCGCGGUAAUACGGGGGAGGCAAGCGUUAUCCGGAAUUAUUGGGCGUAAAGCGUCCGCAGGUGGUCAGCCAAGUCUGCCGUCAAAUCAGGUUGCUUAACGACCUAAAGGCGGUGGAAACUGGCAGACUAGAGAGCAGUAGGGGUAGCAGGAAUUCCCAGUGUAGCGGUGAAAUGCGUAGAGAUUGGGAAGAACAUCGGUGGCGAAAGCGUGCUACUGGGCUGUAUCUGACACUCAGGGACGAAAGCUAGGGGAGCGAAAGGGAUUAGAUACCCCUGUAGUCCUAGCCGUA